rnacentral:lncRNA from 10 species
AUGACUCUUAAGGAGCAUGCUGCCUUCAAGCAUCUGUUUAACAAAGCACAUCUUGCACCUCCCUUAAUCCAUUUAACCCUGAGUGGACACAGCACAUGUUUCAGAGAGCACAGGGUUGGGGGUAAGUAAGGUCACAGAUCAACAGGAUCCCAAGGCCGAAGAAUUUUUCUUAGUACAGAACAAAAGGAAAAGUCUCCCAUGUCUACUUCUUUCUACACAGACACGGCAACCAUCUGAUUUCUCAAUCUUUUCCCCACCUUUCCCCCCUUUCUAUUCCACAAAACCGCCAUUGUCAUCAUGGCCCGUUCUCAAUGAGCUGUUGGGUACACCUCCCAGACGGGGUGGCGGCCGGGCAGAGGGGCUCCUCACUUCCCAGUAG